UACGAGGGGGCAAGCGUUGUUCGGAAUUAUUGGGCGUAAAGGGUGCGUAGGCGGCUUGACAAGUCUGAUGUGAAAUCUAUGGGCUCAACCCAUAGUCUGCAUUAGAAACUGUCGGGCUUGAGUAUGGGAGAGGUGAGUGGAAUUCCGGUGUAGCGGUGAAAUGCGUAGAUAUCGGAAGGAACACCUGUGGCGAAAGCGGCUCACUGGACCAUUACUGACGCUGAUGCACGAAAGCUAGGGGAGCAAACAGG
rnacentral:rRNA from 1 species